AACGUACGCUGGCGGCACGCCUAACACAUGCAAGUCGAACGAAGUAGCAAUACUUAGUGGCAGACGGGUGAGUAACAUGUGGGUAUCUGCCCUUUGGCCUGGAAUAACACGAGGAAACUUGUGCUAAUCCCGGAUAAGUCUUUACGGAGAAAGCUUUAUGCACCAUUGGAUGAGCCCGCACUUGAUUAGUUAGUUGGUAGGGUAAUGGCCUACCAAGACUGUGAUCAAUAGCUGAUUUGAGAGGAUGAUCAGCCACAUUGGGACUGAGACACGGCCCAAACUCCUACGGGAGGCAGCAGUGGGGAAUCUUGCACAAUGGAGGAAACUCUGAUGCAGCGAUGCCGCGUGAGUGAAGAAGGCCCUUGGGUUGUAAAGCUCUUUCGUCGGGGAAGAAAAUGACUGUACCCGAAUAAGAAGGUCCGGCUAACUUCGUGCCAGCAGCCGCGGUAAUACGAAGGGACCUAGCGUAGUUCGGAAUUACUGGGCUUAAAGAGUUCGUAGGUGGUUGAAAAAGUUAGUGGUGAAAUCCCAGAGCUUAACUCUGGAACUGCCAUUAAAACUUUUCAGCUAGAGUAUGAUAGAGGAAAGCAGAAUUUCUAGUGUAGAGGUGAAAUUCGUAGAUAUUAG
rnacentral:rRNA from 1 species